rnacentral:rRNA from 1 species
GACGAACCGUACGAACGUUAUUCGGAAUCACUGGGCUUAAAAGGGUGCGUAGGCGGCGCAGUAAGUUGGGUGUGAAAUCCCUCGGCUUAACCGAGGAAUUGCGCCCAAAACUACUGUGCUCGAGGGAGGUAGAGGUGAGCGGAACUUAGGGUGGAGCGGUGAAAAUGCGUUGAUAUCCUAAGGAACACCGGUGGCGAAGGCGGCCACCUGGACGGUCACUGACGCUGAGAACGCGAAAGCGUGGGUAGCAAACAGG